AGUUUAAUAAUUAAAAAAUUAUAAUUAAUAAAAAAAAUUUUAAUAUAAAAAUAUUAUGGGGGUUAAAGUAUUUUUAUAAGAAAAAAAUUAUUAAUUUUAUAGUUAAUUAGUAUUGUGUAAGAAUUAUGAAAUAUUAUUAAAUAAAAAAUUAUAGAAAAGUAAAUUUUAUUUAUUGUAUCUUGUGUAUCAGAGUUUAUUAAUUAAAUUUUUUUUAUAUAAAAAUUUCUCGAAUUUAAAAGAGAUAAUUAAUUAAUAAAUUUAUUGUUGUAAAAAUAUUUUAAAUAAUUAAUUUGAAAUGAAAUGUUAUUCGUUUUUAAAUAUAUCUAGUUUUUUUAGAAAAAAAUUUAAUUUUUUAUUUAUUUUAUUAAAAAAUUAAUUGAUUAAUUUUUUAAUAAAUAAUAUAUAAUAUUUUAAGGGAUAAGCUUUAAAAUAAAAAGAUUUAAAUGAGUUAUUAUAAAAAUAAAAAUUAUAAAAUUUAUAUUGUUUAAAAAAUUUAAUUUAUUAUAAAUAAUUUUAUUAAUAAUAAAAUUUAAUAAAAAUUUAAUUUUUUUUAUAAAAAAAUAAUUUCAAAUAAAUAAAAAUUAGAAAUAAUGAUAAAAUUAGUAUAUAAUUAAUUUAUAAUUUAUUAAUUUUUAUAAAAUUAAUUUAAAGGAAUUCGACAAAAAUUUAUAUUCACUUGUUUAACAAAAACAUGUCUUUUUGAAUAAUAAUUUAAAGUUUAAUCUGCCCCCUGAUUUAUAUUAAAGGGCUGCAGUAUUUUGACUGUACAAAGGUAGCAUAAUCAUUAGUCUUUUAAUUGGUGACUUGUAUGAAGGAUUGGAUGAAAUAUAUAUUGUCUCUAAAUUAAAAUUAGAAUUUAAUUUUUUAAUUAAAAAGUUAAAAUAUUUUUAAAAGACGAGAAGACCCUAUAGAGUUUUAUAAAUAAUAUAAAUAAGAUUAUAUAUAAAAAAUUCAAAUUAAAAUUAUAUUAUUUAUUUUAUUGGGGUGAUAAAAAAAUAAAUUUAACUUUUUUUUAUAUUUAUAACAUAAAUAAAUGAAUUUUUGAUCCAAAAUUUUUGAUUAAAAGAAAAAAUUACCUUAGGGAUAACAGCGUAAUUUUUUUUUUUAGUUCUUAUAAAAAGAAGAGUUUGCGACCUCGAUGUUGGAUUAAGAUAAAAUUUAAAUGCAAAAGUUUAAAAUUUUGAUCUGUUCGAUCAUUAAAAUCUUACAUGAUCUGAGUUCAAACCGGGGUAAGCCAGGUUGGUUUCUAUCUUUAGAAAAAUUUAAUAUUUUAGUACGAAAGGAUUGAAUAUUAGAAUUAAAUUUUUUUUUUUAUGAAUUUAAUUAAUUUAAUUA
rnacentral:rRNA from 1 species